CCUCCAGACUGAGAAAAUUGUCCAAAGAGUGUGCAUUGGAGGAAAGGCCUCCGUGCUGACCUCUUCCUCCAUAUCUCCCACUGUAGCAUGUCCGUGCGAGGUAGGACCAUUUGUCCUCAUCUUCCCUCCAAAACCAAAGGACACGCUCAUGAUCUCCCAAGAACCAAAGGUCACGUGUGUGGUGGGAGACGUGAGCCAGGAUAACCCUGAGGUUGAGGUCACCUGGUUCAUGGACAAUGUGGAGGUACAAGGGGCCCAGACUCAGCCCCCGGAAGAGCAGUACAACAGCACAUUCCGUGUGGUCAGCGUCCUGCCCAUCCUGCACCAGGACUGGCUGUCAGGAAAGGAGUUCAAGUGCAAGGUCAACAACAACGACCUCCCAGCCCCCAUCGAGAAAACCAUCUCCAAAGUCAAAGGGCAAGCCCGUGAGCCACAAGUGUACACCUUGCCCCCACCAAGGGAGCAGUUGGCCAAUACAGAGGUCUCUCUGACCUGCCUGCUACAAGGAUUCUACCCUAUGGAUAUCUCUGUGGAAUGGGAGAGGAAUGGGAAGCCAGAGGAGAACUACAAGAACACCCCACCUGUCUUGGACUCGGAUGGGACCUUCUUCCUCUACAGCAAGCUACAAGUAGACAAGAAUGCGUGGCAGCAAGGAGACUCAUUCACCUGCUCGGUGAUGCAUGAGGCUCUGCACAACCACUUCACACAGAAGACCAUCUCCCGGUCUCCCGGUAAAUGAGAGCUGGGCCUCACAAUCCCUUACUUCCCUUCUGGGCCUCAGGUCCACACGAUGCUCACACUCAAUGCCACCCCCAACCAUGUCAAUAAAGCACCCAGUCAAUCCCUGA